UACGUAGGGGGCAAGCGUUGUCCGGAAUCAUUGGGCGUAAAGAGCGUGUAGGCGGUCCGGUAAGUCGGCUGUGAAAGUCCAGGGCUCAACCCUGGGAUGCCGGUCGAUACUGCUGGACUAGAGUUCGGAAGAGGCGAGUGGAAUUCCCGGUGUAGCGGUGAAAUGCGCAGAUAGUCGGGAGGAACACCUAUGGGCGAAGGCAGCUCGCUGGGACGUUACUGACGCUGGAGACGCGAAAGCGUGGGGAG
rnacentral:rRNA from 1 species